GACGAACGCUGGCGGCGUGCUUAACACAUGCAAGUCGAACGGGAUUUUUGUGGAAAUUCUUUCGGGAAUGGAUAUGAAAUGAAAGUGGCGAACGGGUUAGUAACACGUUAGCAACCUACCUUACUCAGGGGGAUAGCCGUUGGAAACGACGAUUAAUACCGCAUGAGACUACAGAAUCGCAUGUUUUAGGGGUCAAAGAUUUAUCGGUGUAAGAAGGGCUCGCUUCUGAUUUGCUAGUUGGAAGGGUAAAGGCCUACCAAGGCGACGAUCAGGAGCCGGUCUGAGAGGAUGACCAGCCACAUUGGAACUGCGACACGGUCCACACUGCUACGGGAGGGAGCAGUGGGGAAUAUUGGACAAUGGGGGGAAACCUGAUGCAGCGACGCCGCGUGAGAGAAGAAGGUGUUCGAAUCGUAAAGCUCUGUCCUAUGAGAAGAUAAUGACGGUAACAGAGGAAGAAGCACCGGCUAACUACGUG
rnacentral:rRNA from 1 species